rnacentral:lncRNA from 1 species
AAACAAAUCUUUACAAUAUUCGAAAAGAUGAAUACAUACGAAAAAACAACAAUUUUGAUAAGUAACUCGUAUAUAAAAGCGAAAUGGUCAAUGAUAGAACAAGAACCAAAUAGUAUAAUCACUAAGCUAUUAAUUUAUUUGACCAAAACAUAUUUUAGGAGAUCGGAAGAAAGAACAGAGUUCAGAGGUGGCUUCUAGAGGCGGCCCAGACUAGAGCGUGCCAUGUUGAGCUUUGAUAAUCAUUAUCGUGUCAUGCAAAAAUCCCAAAUGGUGAGACAAAACUGUAUUACAAGUAGUUACAACAACAACAACCCAAAGAGGAACCAAAACCUAAAGACUAUUAGCUUCAAAGGAGGGGAAAAAAAAACUUAAAAGAAUAGGUACCAUAUGUUAUUUUUUAAUUACAACUAAAUAUACAUUGAAUAGAUGUUUGAAUUAAUGUUUUUUUUUAAAAAAAAAUUGUUCAGUUUAACCACGUUUGCAAAUAAUUACUUUAGAAAAGUAGUAUUUUUUUGGUCCAGAUAUUUCCAUGACAGAUACAUAGUCUUGUUAAGAUAUGCUCGUCAAUGACAAAA